UAUUGUUAUUAACUUCAACUUCAAUAGUAUGAACUGCAUAUACGUGAUGAAUUAUGGCAAUAACGAUUAUAGGAACUGAGGAGGGGUGAAUUGGUUAAUUGGAAACGAUAAGUCGAGAGAUAAAGGAGAGAAAAGGAAAGGCAACCCUGUACGCGUUUCGACCUAACAGUCUUCUUCAGCAGGGUUUUUUAAGAGGGGUGCAGGUAGAAUUUGCAGAGGAGAAUGAAGGAGAGG